GUUAGCCUGGCUCUUGAGCCGGGCUGAUAGAAACUCCCCCAAUCCCCACUUGUUUCUGUGUUUAGGGUUUGGCAAACUGGUGUUUUCACUCUCAGGGGCUAGCUCCAUUUGUCUGGCCACUUUUCUGACUACAGUGCUGGGUACUGCACCUUUACAACAAGGCUGUGAGGGCUGAGCACUCAGAGGCAGAGGCUGGGGGAUCCCUGAGUUCAAGGCUACCCAGGGCUACGCAACCCAGAUCGUGGCUCCUAACAGCACAGAACAGAGAGUAGUGGACUAACUGCCAUGUGCAUAUGAUCUGUAGCCUUUACAGUGGCCUUGAAAGUUGCUAAUCCCCAUUACUGAUGAAGAGACUGAAGGUCAUGGGACACAAACUUCAGCUUGGACACCAGAGAAGUACCGGCUGCUUCCAGGGCUGGGAGUUGAUUCCUGUUAAUGCCAAGAAACUAGGAUGCCUCCAUUUCCUUGUUCUCCUUACCACUUUAAUAAAGAAAAAGAAUCACGUGUUUC
rnacentral:lncRNA from 1 species